rnacentral:rRNA from 1 species
CUCAGUUUGGAUUGGAGGCUGAAACCCGCCUCCAUGAAGUUGGAUUCGCUAGUAAUCGCGCAUCAGCCAUGGCGCGGUGAAUACGUUCCCGGGCCUUGUACACACCGCCCGUCAAGCCAUGGGAGCCGGGGGUGCCUGAAGUUCGUGACCGCAAGGAGCGACCUAGGGCAAAACUGGUGACUGGGGCUAAGUCGUAACAAGGUAAC